rnacentral:rRNA from 1 species
AGCGACUCUCGGCAACGGAUAUGUCGGCUCUCGCAUCAAUGAAGAACGUGGCAAAAUGCGAUACUUGGUGUGAAUUGCAGGAUCCCACGAACCACCGAGUCUU